ACGGGUGAGUAACACGUGGGCAACCUGCCCUUGAGACUGGGAUAACUUCGGGAAACCGGAGCUAAUACCGGAUAAUAUAAGGAACCUCCUGGUUCCUUGUUGAAAGAUGGUUUCGGCUAUCACUUAAGGAUGGGCCCGCGGCGCAUUAGCUAGUUGGUGAGGUAACGGCUCACCAAGGCGACGAUGCGUAGCCGACCUGAGAGGGUGAUCGGCCACACUGGGACUGAGACACGGCCCAGACUCCUACGGGAGGCAGCAGUAGGGAAUCUUCCACAAUGGACGAAAGUCUGAUGGAGCAACGCCGCGUGAGUGAUGAAGGCCUUCGGGUCGUAAAGCUCUGUUGUUAGGGAAGAACAAGUGCGAGAGUAACUGCUCGUACCUUGACGGUACCUAACCAGAAAGCCACGGCUAACUACGUGCCAGCAGCCGCGGUAAUACGUAGGUGGCAAGCGUUAUCCGGAAUUAUUGGGCGUAAAGCGCGCGCAGGUGGUUUCUUAAGUCUGAUGUGAAAGCCCACGGCUCAACCGUGGAGGGUCAUUGGAAACUGGGGAACUUGAGUGCAGAAGAGGAAAGUGGAAUU
rnacentral:rRNA from 1 species